AGUGAGGAAUCUUGGGCAAUGGGCGAAAGCCUGACCCAGCCAUCCUGCGUGGAGGAUGAAGCUCUACGGAGUGUAAACUCCUUUUGUGAGGGACGAAAUCUUGACGGUACCUCACGAAUAAGGGACGGCUAAUCACGUGCCAGCAGCCGCGGUAAGACGUGAGUCCCAAGCGUUACCCGGUUUUACUGGGCGUUAAGGGCUCGCAGGCGGAAUGGAAAGUCUGGGAUUAAAUCCGGUGGCUCAACCAUCUGGCUGAUCUCAGAAACUUCCAUUCUAGAGGAUCAGAGAGGUAAGUGGAAUGCCCAAGGUAGGGGUAAAAUCCGUUGAUCUUGGGUGGAACGCCAAAAGCGAAGGCAGCUUGCUAUCUGAUUCCUGACGCUGCAGCGAGCGAAAGCGUGGGGAGCAAACCGGAUUAGAUACCCGGGUAGUCCACGCUGUAAACGCUGCGCGCUCGGUGUUGGAUACACUCUCUAGGUGUAUUCAGUGCCUUAGCAAACGCGUUAAGCGCGCCGCCUGGAUAGUACGGCCGCAAGGUUAAAACCCAAACGAAUAGGCGGGGGUCCACGCAAGCGGUGGAACAUGUGGCUUAAUUCGAUAAUGAGCGAGGAACCUUACCCGGGCUUGACAUUUAGACUAAGAGUGUAGAGAUACACUCGCCCUUUUGGGAGUCUAAACAGGUGCUGCAUGGCUGUCGUCAGUUCGUGCCUUGAGGUGUCUUCUUAAGUGAGGUCAACGAACGCAACCCUCAUCUUCUGUUAAAUAUUACAGAAGUGACUGCUAGGGUAAUCCUUGAGGAAGGAGGGGAUGACGUCAAGUCAGCAUGGCCCUUAUGCCCGGGGCUGCACACAUGUUACAAUGGCCAGUACAACGGGUUUGCGAAGCUGUGAAGCCGAGCUAAUCCCUUAAAGCUGGUCUAAGUUCGGAUCGGAGUCUGCAACUCGACUCCGUGAAGCUGGAAUCGCUAGUAACCGCAGAUCAGCACGCUGCGGUGAAUAUGC
rnacentral:rRNA from 1 species